CCUCAUGAAUCUUCAUGAAACAUUUAUAUUGAUAUUGAAGAAUCUGCAUAUGUUAUUAUCUGAAAGAGAAUACGAUUGUUAAACUCCAACUAGAUUGAGGCAAUUAAGGAAGUACAACUGAACGAAAACUGUAAAAAGAAUAAAAUAAAAUCAAUAAACUUCAGUUAACAUUGUGAAAUGCUUACACCACAAAUUCAAGCGUUUAACAUAAGUGAUCGUAAACAAAGUAAUAAAUAAUGGUCCCUUUGGAGAGAUUUAUAAAAAUAAAGAAAUAUUUAUAAGCACAAUAGGGCAAAAAAAUAUUGGGAAACAAAUUCAAACAAGCCAAAGACAUGCUGACACUUUUUAUGGCUUAUUGCUUGUUAGAGAAGCAUGUGUAUAAAAAAUGGGCCAUCUAAUUGGCUAGCCUGCAUAUUUUACGAUGCUAAUGGCCUGUUGCUCCAUCUCUUCGUCUGACAGCCUGAAUGUUCCUCAAGGACAGUCUGACGUUGACAGGAUCCGUGCUCACAGAUACUCUGUAAGUUAAUAUAUAGACUGAAAACUAUUUCCGGACAAAA